CCUUUUCUCUGGUCUUCUGUACUUGAAUUACAGGAACUCUUGAUGUGGGUCCUCUGAAUAAACAGCGCACAUUCCUCAGUUAUCCCCACUGCAGGGAGUCUUUAGAUCUGGAGAUAGGUAAAACCUACCUUAUCAUGGGCACGUCCAAAGAUAUUCACAGAGAUCGCCGACAACAAUCGUAUCAGUAUGUGCUUGGAGAGAGAACCUGGAUCGAGUACUGGCCCACAGAAGCAGAGUGUCAAACUGAGGAACACAGAGUUACCUGUUUGGGCAUGGAGGAUAUGGUUAAUCAGUACCAACUCUUUGGGUGUAAGCAAUAGUGAUACUCAAGAAAAGAAAAUGUUCCUUUAAAUUGUUUUUUUUAAUUUUGCAUCAUUCAUAUUAUGUAAAACAUUCCCUGCUAUGGGAUAAGAUGGCUUACAUUGUUGCACUGUAUUGAUUUAAAUGUAAUGGUCUUAAAUGUAAUUGUGUUUGUUUGAAAAUUAGGCACUGAUUACUGUUAUUUUGGUUGUGAA